rnacentral:rRNA from 1 species
AUUGAACGCUGGCGGCAUGCUUUACACAUGCAAGUCGAACGGUAACAGGCCGCAAGGUGCUGACGAGUGGCGGACGGGUGAGUAAUGCAUCGGAACGUGCCCAGUCGUGGGGGAUAACGCAGCGAAAGCUGUGCUAAUACCGCAUACGAUCUAUGGAUGAAAGCGGGGGACCGUAAGGCCUCGCGCGAUUGGAGCGGCCGAUGUCAGAUUAGGUAGUUGGUGGGGUAAAGGCUCACCAAGCCAACGAUCUGUAGCUGGUCUGAGAGGACGACCAGCCACACGGGGACUGAGACACGGCCCAGACUCCUACGGGAGGCAGCAGUGGGGAAUUUUGGACAAUGGGCGCAAGCCUGAUCCAGCAAUGCCGCGUGCAGGAAGAAGGCCUUCGGGUUGUAAACUGCUUUUGUACGGAACGAAACGGCGAGCUCUAAUACAGUUUGCUAAUGACGGUACCGUAAGAAUAAGCACCGGCUAACUACGUGCCAGCCGCCGCCGUAAAAC